UAUUUUCUAGUGUAAGAACCACAUAAACCUUUGAAGUUUAAAAAUUAAGUUCAAAUCUUAUAAAAAUAG
rnacentral:tRNA from 1 species